CCUACGGUGGGCAGCAGUGAGGAAUAUUGUUCAAUGGGCGCGAGCCUGAACCAGCCAAGUAGCGUGAAGGAUGACUGCCCUACGGAUUUUAAACUUCUUUUAUAAAGGCGUAAAGUGCGGCACGUGUUCCUUUUUGUAUGUCCUUUAUGAAUACGCAUCGGCUAACUCAGUGCCAGCAGCCGCGGUAAUACGGAGGAUCCUAGCGUUAUACGGAUUUAGUGGGGUUAAAGGGAGCGUAGAUGGGUUGUUAAGGCAGGAGUGAAAGUUUGCGGCUCAACCGUAAAAUUGCAAUUGAUACUGGGAGUCUUGAGUACAGUAGAGGUAGGUGGAAUUCGUGGUGGAGCGGUGAAAUGCUUAGAUAUCACGAAGAACUCCGAUUGCGAAGGCAGCUUACUAAACUGUAACUGACAUUGAGGCUCGAAAGUGUGGGGAGCAAACAGGAUUAGAUACCCCGGUAGUC
rnacentral:rRNA from 1 species